UUUUUUUUUGAAUGAUUUUAGAUCUAAAUUAAUAUUUAUUUAUAUUAUAUAAUAUUUCUAUCACUCUAAAAUAAAAUAAAAAGUCUAAAAUAAUAUAUUAAAUAUAUUUAAAGUAAAAGUAUAAUGCACUAAUUUUAAGAUCUACUGAUCUAAUUUUUCAUCGAGUGUCGAUGAUGCUCAUAGAUAUCUGUAUUGUUCACAUAAUCAAGAAGAAUAUCAAUCCAUCUCUCUAAUCAAGUAAUAUUUUAAUCUUGAUUGCUCAUCUUAUAAGGCAUCCGUUCUACAUUGUAGGAUAACUCAGAUCUAUUACUCAAGCUCUGACUCUAAGAGAUAUCUUCAGAUUGACGAUACGACUAUGGAG
rnacentral:lncRNA from 1 species